rnacentral:snRNA from 1 species
GUGUUUGCUUCAGCAGCACAUACACUAAAAUUGGAACGAUACAGAGAAGAUUAGCAUGACCCCUGCUCAAAGAUCACAUGCAAAUUCAUGAAGCAUCCUAUAUUUUU